rnacentral:rRNA from 1 species
GAACGAUGAACCACCUUCGGGUGGGGAUUAGUGGCGAACGGGUGAGUAACACGUGGGCAAUCUGCCCUGCACUCUGGGACAAGCCCUGGAAACGGGGUCUAAUACCGGAUACUGACCUGCCAAGGCAUCUUGGCGGGUCGAAAGCUCCGGCGGUGCAGGAUGAGCCCGCGGCCUAUCAGCUUGUUGGUGAGGUAAUGGCUCACCAAGGCGACGACGGGUAGCCGGCCUGAGAGGGCGACCGGCCACACUGGGACUGAGACACGGCCCAGACUCCUACGGGAGGCAGCAGUGGGGAAUAUUGCACAAUGGGCGAAAGCCUGAUGCAGCGACGCCGCGUGAGGGAUGACGGCCUUCGGGUUGUAAACCUCUUUCAGCAGGGAAGAAGCGAAAGUGACGGUACCUGCAGAAGAAGCGCCGGCUAACUACGUGCCAGCAGCCGCGGUAAUACGUAGGGCGCAAGCGUUGUCCGGAAUUAUUGGGCGUAAAGAGCUCGUAGGCGGCUUGUCGCGUCGGUUGUGAAAGCCCGGGGCUUAACCCCGGGUCUGCAGUCGAUACGGGCAGGCUAGAGUUCGGUAGGGGAGAUCGGAAUUCCUGGUGUAGCGGUGAAAUGCGCAGAUAUCAGGA